rnacentral:tRNA from 2 species
GGUGACGUGGCCGAGUUGGUCUAAGGCGUUGGAUUUAAGUUCCCAAUGGGCGUGAGUCCGCGCGAGUUCGAACCUCGCCGUCACCA